rnacentral:rRNA from 1 species
CCUACGGGCGGCAGCAGUGGGGAAUAUUGGACAAUGGGCGAAAGCCUGAUCCAGCCAUGCCGCGUGUGUGAAGAAGGCCUUCGGGUUGUAAAGCACUUUCAGUGGGGAAGAAAGCCUUGGGGCUAAUACCCUCGAGGAAGGACAUCACCCACAGAAGAAGCACCGGCUAACUCCGUGCCAGCAGCCGCGGUAAUACGGAGGGUGCGAGCGUUAAUCGGAAUUACUGGGCGUAAAGCGCGCGUAGGCGGUCUGAUAAGCCGGUUGUGAAAGCCCCGGGCUCAACCUGGGAACGGCAUCCGGAACUGUCAGGCUAGAGUGCAGGAGAGGAAGGUAGAAUUCCUGGUGUAGCGGUGAAAUGCGUAGAGAUCGGGAGGAAUACCAGUGGCGAAGGCGGCCUUCUGGACUGACACUGACGCUGAGGUGCGAAAGCGUGGGUAGCAAACAGGAUUAGAUACCCGGGUAGUC